GACAUAAAAACUGAAAAGAAACAAAAUUUGUAUAUGUUACAUAAUCAACUGAUUCUAAUGUUUUAUCUUCUUCUUCUUCUUUUUCUUCUUCUUUAUACCCAGUU
rnacentral:ribozyme from 13 species